AUGGAUUCACCACAUUUAUCACCAUGUUCUCAUGUUUCAUUUUCGUCACCUCCACCGGCACCAAAACCUAAUAAGAAACGAAAGAUAGAGUUUUUAGAUGAUGAGAUUCCUCAAACCAUCACUCUAUCAUCACCUCAUCAUACUCCCUCACCACUGCUGAAAAGACGCAUAGAAUUCAUGGAUGAAAUUAUUGAGCUUGGUGAGAUGCGUUUAGAACUGUAUCGUCUCUUGGAGGAGACCCAAGAAGCCAUCGAGGCUAAAAGAAAGUGGAAAAUUGCAAUCUUGAUGUCAUUUAGAUAG